rnacentral:rRNA from 1 species
GAUGAACGCUAGCGAUAGGCUUAACACAUGCAAGUCGAGGGGCAGCAUGGUCUUAGCUUGCUAAGGCUGAUGGCGACCGGCGCACGGGUGCGUAACGCGUAUGCAACUUGCCUCACAGAGGGGGAUAACCCGUCGAAAGACGGACUAAUACCGCGUACACUCUAUGUUGGGCAUCCAAUGUAGAGGAAAUGAAAUUCGCUGUGAGAUAGGCAUGCGUCCCAUUAGCUAGUUGGUGAGGUAACGGCUCACCAAGGCGACGAUGGGUAGGGGAACUGAGAGGUUGAACCCCCACACUGGUACUGAGACACGGACCAGACUCCUACGGGAGGCAGCAGUGAGGAAUAUUGGUCAAUGGGCGAGAGCCUGAACCAGCCAAAUCGCGUGAAGGAUGACUGUCUUAUGGAUUGUAAACUUCUUUUAUACGGGAAUAACAAGAGUCACGUGUGGCUCCCUGCAUGUACCGUAUGAAUAAGCAUCGGCUAACUCCGUG